AACACAUGCAGUCGAGCGGAUGAAUGGAGCUUGCUUCAUGAUUCAGCGGCGGACGGGUGAGUAAUGCCUAGGAAUCUGCCUGGUAGUGGGGGACAACGUUUCGAAAGGAACGCUAAUACCGCAUACGUCCUACGGGAGAAAGUGGGGGAUCUUCGGACCUCACGCUAUCAGAUGAGCCUAGGUCGGAUUAGCUAGUUGGUGAGGUAAAGGCUCACCAAGGCGACGAUCCGUAACUGGUCUGAGAGGAUGAUCAGUCACACUGGAACUGAGACACGGUCCAGACUCCUACGGGAGGCAGCAGUGGGGAAUAUUGGACAAUGGGCGAAAGCCUGAUCCAGCCAUGCCGCGUGUGUGAAGAAGGUCUUCGGAUUGUAAAGCACUUUAAGUUGGGAGGAAGGGCAGUAAGUUAAUACCUUGCUGUUUUGACGUUACCAACAGAAUAAGCACCGGCUAACUUCGUGCCAGCAGCCGGGUAAAAUAACCUCUGCCCUUUCCACCCAACCUUAA
rnacentral:rRNA from 2 species